GGCUAUCUGGACCCAAUACUGACGCUGAGGUGCGAAAGCCGUGGGGAGCCAAACAGGAUUAGAUACCCCUGGUAGUCCACCGCCGUAAACGAUGUCAACUAGCCGUUGGGGGGCUUGUCCCUUUAGUGGCGCAGCUAACGCGAUAAGUUGACCGCCUGGGGAGUACGGCCGCAAGGUUAAAACUCAAAUGAAUCGACGGGGGCCCGCACAAGCGGUGGAGCAUGUGGUUUAAUUCGAUGCAACGCGAAGAACCUUACCAGGUCUUGACAUCCCUCGGAACUUUCCAGAGAUGGAUUGGUGCCUUCGGGAACCGAGUGACAGGUGCUGCAUGGCUGUCGUCAGCUCGUGUCGUGAGAUGUUGGGUUAAGUCCCGUAACGAGCGCAACCCUUGUCCUUAGUUGCCAGCACGUAAUGGUGGGAACUCUAAGGAGACUGCCGGUGACAAACCGGAGGAAGGUGGGGACGACGUCAAGCCAUCAUGGCCCUUACGACCUGGGCUACACACGUGCUACAAUGGCCGGUACAGAGGGUUGCCAAGCC
rnacentral:rRNA from 1 species